UACGGAGGGUGCGAGCGUUGUUCGGAAUUAUUGGGCGUAAAGCGCGUGUAGGCGGCUCCUUAAGUCUGAUGUGAAAGCCCCGGGCUCAACCUGGGAAGUGCAUUGGAAACUGGGGAACUUGAAUACGGGAGAGGGUAGUGGAAUUCCUGGUGUAGGAGUGAAAUCCGUAGAUAUCAGGAGGAACACCGGUGGCGAAGGCGGCUGCCUGGACCGAUAUUGACGCUGAGACGCGAAAGCGUGGGGAGCAAACAGG
rnacentral:rRNA from 2 species